UUUAGGGGGUUACUUUAGUCUAUUUUCAUAACGGCAGUGUUGUGUAAUUUAUUAGAAAAGAUAACAGAUCCAAUGACUAUUAUGAUAAGAGUUGUUGGAUGGAUGACUUGAUGUUUAUGAUUUUUGUGAAAAUUUCUAGAAUUUCUCUAUCUUUUUAGAGUGUCCACUUAGGUUCCUAGGCGGUUUGUAUUUAUCUUCAAGAGUCUACUCCUUCCGUUCCGGAAAGUGAAGAGGGAGAGAGAUGUAGGGUGGGGCCUACAUGGCAGAAAUGCCAUGUCAUGGUCAAUGUAGUCAAAACCAUCGCCACGUCAGCGCUAAGCCACCUAAAACGAGUAUAGGUGCCAAAGUUGCAUGAUAUUAGAACUUAUAGUGUCCAUUGUACCCGGUUUUGUAGUUGGGGGUCAAAGUUAGACAAACCCAAUAGUUGAGGUGCCAAAAAUGAACUUUUUCCUUUAUUAAUAAAGCAUACUUGGAUAGCGUUGAAAUCCAUUUCAGUCAAAUUUGAACGGCAAGGCCAACAAAUCGGAGGUUUCUUUUGAACCUCCCACGUUCAUUGAAUUUUUUUAAAUAAUAAAAUUUUGAUAGGUAAUCGCAAAAAUAAAUGUCGAAUAAAAAUAAAUGUAAAUAUUGGUGUCUGUCGGCCCUUCAAAAGCCAACAGGAAACCUAUGAGCUAUCCAAAAGCCGAUAGGUACUUAUCGGCUAUAGAAGGGCCAACUAGUGCUACCACAUCAGUAGCAGCCGCGUGGCCUCACGCUAGCUAGACCUGUCGGCGUGAUAGGGGACCUAUAGGCCACGCAAGAGCUGACAGGUCUAUCGGACCGAUAAGGGCACCAAUCGGCCGCUUAGUAGCCGAUAGGGGUAUCGGCUCAUUUACCCUCCUUCUACUCGGCCCUCCAUUCACCACGCCUCCUCUUUACUGCCGACUCCUACCACUACAACAUAGAUGACCUUCUGCGAAGAAUUUCUCGUGACGAUAGAGCUAUUCAUCAUUGAAUAGCUAUUCGUCAUUGAAUACUUCUGUUUGUGAUGUUUCCUAGGAGUCGAUACACUUUAGUGACGAAACAUCACUAAAGUUAGAUGUCUGUAACUGCAAUUUUCACAAAAGGAGGUUCUGCUUUUAUAUUCUCUUUCCUUGCAGGCAAUAAUCGAUACGAGAUGCAAGAUCACAGGUACAUAUUUAACUAUUGGAAUUUACUUCCUUCUAUUUUAAUUCAAUUGCUUCUUUUGUUUCAAAAGAUUUAAUUGUUUCUAAAAAUUGUUUCAGAUUCAUUUGAUUAAUUCUGGCCACCUACAAGAGAUGUAACUUUCUGUUUGUCUUGGAGCCUGUCAAUUUUUUGCCUCUGUUGUUUAAUUACAAGUCAAGUGCAAAGUAUAGUGCUACUUGCAUAAUAGAUUUUAUUUACUAAAGGCAAGAGUAUAUACGCUGUUUUGGAUCUAGUUGCCCGAAGUAUCAUAUUGACAAUAAUUUGACUGUGCACAGUCCGCUCUAUCAAAGUAACAUUUUUUAUAGAAAAUUUUAUGACUUAAUAAUAUAAGUGAACUACAUUGAAUAAUAUCUAAAUUAACCAUUCCUUAUACUUUUUGAAAGAAAUCGUAUAUUUGAAUGCUUGUGCUUACAAGUUUGUGCUUCAUUUUUGUUUAGGAUGAUUAUUCAAAUAAAUAUAGAUAGCGAAGUUUCUUCAAUAAGAGUUUUCCUUCAAAAUUUGAAAAUCUAGGAAUCUAGUGUUCAUUCAGACAAGGACAUUUCUAUUUCAGCUUUAGAAUAGAGAUUUGGCUGAUGCAGAGUGAACUUGAACAGAGAGUCGUCAGUUUGCCAGGACAAAUGUAUUGACACUGCAGGUAUUGAGAUGAUUCCAAGGAUGAAGUAUGGAAACACAAGAAAGUUUACCCAUUUCAGAUGUCAUGUAUAUUUUACUUCUAGUCUGGAAUAUUGUAUAUAUUGUAUACCAUCCCUCUCUGUAUCAUUUUCUUCCAUGUACAGAACAACUUAUUGAAUGAAAAUGUAUGGUAUAUUUUAUAAUGAA